GGGAGCUGCUGUCUCUUUAAGGAGGCGGGGCUCCUCCCGGAGGAGGCGGAGAGGUUCCGCCCCCCGGAUCUCCGGCUUCCGGCAACUGGGCUGGGCUGGACCGAAACCGGCGCGGAGCAACUGAGGCCCGAGCCUUCUCGGGACCCGGGGGACGCCUAACCCCGCGAGAUGAGGAAACUGAGGCCGCGAGGAGCGCGCACACAGCAGAGAAGCAGCAGAAUCGGGAAUCAAACCCAGCUCUGUCUGACCCCAGAGCCUGUGCCCUUAACCACUGGCUAGGCUGAACUGCCUUUGUUCUUCACUGUCCCCAUCACCUCUUUCAAACCUCAGCCUCUCCUUCCUCAUCGUUACAUCUCUAGGCUGCACCUGGUCUCUAAACAUUCACACAACCCCUGCAAAUUUUCUUCCUCAUAAUUGGGAGAAGACUCACUGGCCGAAUGGCAGCAGUAGAUGACUUGCGAUUUGAAGAAUUUGGCAAUGCAGCCACUUCUCUGACAGCAAACCCAGAUGCCACCACAGUAAACAUUGAGGAUCCUGGUGAAACCCCAAAACAUCAGCCAGGAUCCCCAAGAGGCUCAGGAAGAGAAGAAGAUGAUGAGUUACUGGGAAAUGAUGACUCUGACAAAACUGAGUUACUUGCUGGACAGAAGAAAAGCUCCCCCUUCUGGACAUUUGAAUACUACCAAACAUUCUUUGAUGUGGACACCUACCAGGUCUUUGACAGAAUUAAAGGAUCUCUUUUGCCAAUACCCGGGAAAAACUUUGUGAGGUUAUAUAUCCGCAGCAAUCCAGAUCUCUAUGGCCCCUUUUGGAUAUGUGCCACGUUGGUCUUUGCCAUAGCAAUUAGUGGGAAUCUUUCCAACUUCUUGAUCCAUCUGGGAGAGAAGACGUACCAUUAUGUGCCCGAAUUCCGAAAAGUGUCCAUAGCAGCUACCAUCAUCUAUGCCUAUGCCUGGCUGGUUCCUCUCGCACUCUGGGGUUUCCUCAUGUGGAGAAACAGCAAAGUUAUGAACAUCGUCUCCUAUUCAUUUCUGGAGAUUGUGUGUGUCUAUGGAUAUUCCCUCUUCAUUUAUAUCCCCACCGCAAUACUGUGGAUUAUCCCCCAGAAAGCUGUUCGUUGGAUUCUAGUCAUGAUUGCCCUGGGCAUCUCAGGAUCUCUCUUGGCAAUGACAUUUUGGCCAGCUGUUCGUGAGGAUAACCGACGCGUUGCAUUGGCCACAAUUGUGACAAUUGUGUUGCUCCAUAUGCUGCUUUCUGUGGGCUGCUUGGCAUACUUUUUUGAUGCACCAGAGAUGGACCAUCUCCCAACAACUACAGCUACUCCAAACCAAACAGUUGCUGCAGCCAAGUCCAGCUAAUGAGGAAAGACUCACUUGAGAUACCCUCUCCUUGCUGAAGUUUUUCUUGACUACUCCAGUUCUCUUUUGUUUUUUGGAGCAUGGUUCUUUGUGAAGUGGCAUCCACUGCAGGAAAGCAGAAUGAGCAGAGCCAGCAGAACUGAUGGAGUGGCACAAACUCCCAGUGUCUGGAUGGUGCCACACUGGCGCCUAAUCACCCGUUUAACAAGCAGAAAUUAAAUGUUGCUCAGCACAUGUGUCUUUCAGCUCUUCUUUUUCACCCAUGGAUGAUCAUUGCGAGCAUGCGCUGAUUGGACUGAAAUGCCGGGGAAUAGGUUAGGCAUGCUCAGUGCCGUCCCUUUGCCACCACAGUCAAAUGACAUGCUUCACUGUGGUACCUUAAUACCUGAAAUAGAACCAUGGAAAAUUCUGAUGUCCUCUCUCUGAAUUAUGUACAGACUACCUGGGGGAUCCUCUUCUCUCCAAAUGUUAGCCAUCCUGAAGUAGCCAAACAGUAGAAACUUCGGUGGGGAUUAACCGGGAGCUUGAAAAUUUGUCUUUGGUAACCUGAUACUGGACAGCUGAACCGAAUGGCUGCAAAAUAAAUACCUCACAUGA